rnacentral:rRNA from 1 species
CACAUGACUCUCGGCAAUGGAUAUCUCGGCUCUUGCAUCGAUGAAGAACGUAGWGAAAUGCGAUACUUGGUGUGAAUUGCAGAAUCUCGUGAACCAUUGAGUCUUUGAACGCAAGUUGUGCCCGAGGCCUUGUGGCCGAGGGCACGCCUGCUUGGGCGUCAUGA